rnacentral:rRNA from 1 species
AGAGUUUGAUCCUGGCUCAGGAUGAACUUUGGCGGUGUGCCUAAUACAUGCAAGUCGUACGCGUUGGCCCAACUGAUUUGAAGUGCUUGCACGGAUCUGACGUUGGUUUACCAACGAGUGGCGGACGGGUGAGUAACACGUAGGUAACCUGCCCAGAAGCGGGGGACAACACUUGGAAACAGGUGCUAAUACCGCAUAACAAUUCAAAUCGCAUGAUUUGAAUUUGAAAGAUGGUUUCGGCUAUCACUUCUGGAUGGACCUGCGGCGCAUUAGCUUGUUGGUGGGGUAAUGGCCUACCAAGGCAGUGAUGCGUAGCCGAGUUGAGAGACUGAUCGGCCACAAUGGGACUGAGAUACGGCCCAUACUCCUACGGGAGGCAGCAGUAGGGAAUCUUCCACAAUGGGCGCAAGCCUGAUGGAGCAACACCGCGUGAGUGAAGAAGGUUUUCGGAUCGUAAAGCUCUGUUGUUGAAGAAGAACGUGCAUGAGAGUAACUGUUCAUGCAGUGACGGUAUUCAACCAGAAAGUCACGGCUAACUACGGGCCAGCAGCCGCGGUAAUACGUAGGUGGCAAGCGUUAUCCGGAUUUAUUGGGCGUAAAGAGAGUGCAGGCGGUUUCUUAAGUCUGAUGUGAAAGCCUUCGGCUCAACCGAAGAAGUGCAUCGGAAACUGGGAAACUUGAGUACAGAAGAGGGCAGUGGAACUCCAUGUGUAGCGGUGGAAUGCGUAGAUAUAUGGAAGAACACCAGUGGCGAAGGCGGCUGCCUGGUCUGUAACUGACGCUGAGACUCGAAAGCAUGGGUAGCGAACAGGAUUAGAUACCCUGGUAGUCCAUGCCGUAAACGAUGAGUGCUA